rnacentral:rRNA from 1 species
ACCAGACUCCUACGGGAGGCAGCAGUGGGGAAUAUUGCACAAUGGGGGAAACCCUGAUGCAGCGACGCCGCGUGAGUGAGGAAGUAUUUCGGUAUGUAAAGCUCUAUCAGCAGGGAAGAAAAUGACGGUACCUGACUAAGAAGCCCCGGCUAACUACGUGCCAGCAGCCGCGGUAAUACGUAGGGGGCAAGCGUUAUCCGGAUUUACUGGGUGUAAAGGGAGCGUAGGCGGCUGUGUAAGCCAGAAGUGAAAGCCCGGGGCUCAACUCCGGGACUGCUUUUGGAACUACAUGGCUUGAUUGCAGGAGAGGCAAGUGGAAUUCCUAGUGUAGCGGUGAAAUGCGUAGAUAUUAGGAGGAACACCAGUGGCGAAGGCGGCCUGCUGGACGAUGACUGACGUUGAGGCUCGAAAGCGUGGGGAGCAAACAGGAUUAGAUACCCGUGUA